ensembl:ncRNA F47A4.7 ncRNA
UUGAAACAGAAAAGAUAAAAAGAAGUAACUUCAUUUUUUGAAAACCCAAUUAAAGUUCCAUGAGUCCGAAUGAUGUAAUGAAAAAUAGCAUCUAUUUAUUAUUUACUGAAAACAUUUUUUGAUUUAAAUCAAAUUUCAACCCCAUAUUUUUGAAUUGUCGCAUUAUGUUGUAUUUUGAUACACUUAGCUUUUGAUUUUAUCAACAUCCGUA